UUAAUCAAAGCCAAAAAGAGGCACUCCAUUGUUAAUGGAGUCAUUGGUUAAUAAAGCCUGAUUAAA
rnacentral:tRNA from 1 species